rnacentral:rRNA from 1 species
UACGUAGGGUGCGAGCGUUGUCCGGAAUUACUGGGCGUAAAGAGCUCGUAGGUGGUUUGUCGCGUCUGCCGUGAAAGUCCGGGGCUCAACUCCGGAUCUGCGGUGGGUACGGGCAGACUAGAGUGAUGUAGGGGAGACUGGAAUUCCUGGUGUAGCAGUGAAAUGCGCAGAUAUCAGGAGGAACACCGAUGGCGAAGGCAGGUCUCUGGGCAUUAACUGACGCUGAGGAGCGAAAGCAUGGGGAGCGAACAGG